CCCUUAGAUGUUCUGGGCCGCACGCGUGCUACACUGAUGCAUUCAACGAGUCUAAAACCUGGUCUGAUAGGGCUGGGCAAUCUUUUAAACCUGCAUCGUGAUAGGGAUAGAUUAUUGCAAUUAUUAAUCUUGAACGAGGAAUUCCUAGUAAACGCAAAUCAUCAAUUUGCAUUGAUUACGUCCCUGCCCUUUGUACACACCGCCCGUCGCACCUACCGAUUGAAUGGUCCGGUGAAGCCUCGGGAUUGUGGCCAGUUCACUUUAUUGGGAGUUGGCUGCGAGAACUUGUCUAAACCUUAUCAUUUAGAGGAAGGUGAAGUCGUAACA
rnacentral:rRNA from 1 species